rnacentral:misc_RNA from 1 species
CAAAGUUUAAAGUUGUUUAGAGUUUUGUGUGUUGAACUGCGAAUUUUUAUUAGUAUACGUUAUAGAAUCUGUCAAAUUCGUCUUGAAAAAGACGUAAAAAUAUUAAUUGAUUAGUUAAUUGACGGAUUGAUUUAGCCAGGUAAAGUUAGAGUUUAUUUUUAAUGCUUUGCGUAUAAAAUACCUAAGAUUUAUCAGUCAUAUUUUAAGAUUAUCUUUAAAUAAUCUAUAAGAGAAAUAAAUCCGUAGGUUAAAAAUAAAGUAUUGUAAUGGCUGAAGGAAGAGAACCUGAAAAUUAUGAACAAUCUAGUCGUCUGAAAGCUUUAGACGGUUUAAGGAAAACGGAUAUUAUUGAAGAAAUCGAUAAUAGAAGAUUGGGCUAUGAACAAGAAGGAGAUUACGAUGUAAAAUUUCAAAGAGCCGACUCAGAUGAUGGUCAAGAAGUGGUAUGGUUUGAAAAAGAAAAUGGCGUUGGCAUAUCAGAUAAACCGCAAAGGAAAUGGAAGGAUAUUGACGUCAGUCCGGCAGCCAAAUUAUAUAAAGCGGACAGUGAUCAAGACCUCCUCCUAAAUAAGUCAAAAAUGCAAAGAGCAUAUCAUAGGGUACGAAAAAAUUUACAUAAUAAAACAUUACAUUUAUAUACAUUAUCUGAGCUAAUUAUUUAAUGCUCUUUAUUCAUCAUUGACAGACAAAGAGGACUGUAACUUCCUCCCACUACUGCCAGUUUUGUCGAUCUCUUUGUGAACGCCAUCGUUGGCUUAUGGGUUCAAUUGUUGCGAUACUAAUUAUACUUAUGUACUGUCUAAUUAUUAUAAUUAUUGUAAAAUCGUUAGGAUAGAUGCAAAAAAAUACAGUUACAAACUGUUGUAAUAUUGGGACAUUCUAUUAUAUCUAUAUACUGUGUAUGUAUACUGUAUGUAGAGGAUAUAAAUUAUAUCUAUAAUAGUAUUUCGAUAUUUAUAUACAUUGCUUUGUAAAAUAUGCGAAGAAAAGAAAUAGCAUUCUUACAGAAUGAUUAUGGGCAAUAUUUGUUAAUUUAUUUAGUAUCAAUAUCUUUAAUUGACAGCUAAUCUCUCUCUCUCUCUCUCUUUACGGUCAAGGUUUGAUACAUUGGAAAGUUUUCUAAAUAUAGAUUGGAAAUUUAUUAGGAUUACUACAGAUAGAAUAUUAUUUUAGAGAAAUAGUUAAAAAUAAAUUAAUUUGAUACAUAGUCAAUAGUUAUGAAAAAAGUUUCCGUUCACGAUUUAUCGGCAAAACUAUGUAUAUAGGUGUUGAUUUUCUUUUUGUUAUGGCUAGCUACAUACUCUUCUCUCUUUCUUCCUAUUGAUACAAUUGCUAUUUAAAGGAUAAUCCGAAUCAUCUUUAUUUCUAUCAAUGUUUUUUUAUAACGUAAGUUGUUACUAAAAAAGACAUAAGCAAAUUUAUUUUAUUCAACCUACUUCCGGUAGCGUCACCUUGCCUUUUUUUUAUCGUCUAGAUAAAAAAUUGCCUAGGUCGGAAAAGGGCAGGAUAUAAACUUAAUUAUUGCGUAAUGACAACUGAAAGAGUUUCGCAGAAAGAAAUUAUGUUUUUCUUUUGGGAAUUCUUCACAUAAAAGUCCGUUUUGCAGACAUAUAUACUGUAUAUAUUUAUAAUAAAAAUAUGUCUACCCUUGCUAUACUGAACAGUUUGAAGAAUGGAAGGAUUGUUAUGUCCAUUUCGUGUAUCAAAUACAAAAUAAACUGUUUAAAAAGUUAAUAAUAUCCAAUAAAUAAACUAACAA